rnacentral:lncRNA from 1 species
CCUUGCUCAUGGGUCACCAGCUCUAGCUCUUGAAGCUUUUGGCUUCCAUGUAAACAGUUCAGCUAAUCUGGGUCUGCCAAGUUAUAUCAAAGCCCAAAGUAGUCCAUGCAGAGAGAUCACAGGAAGAGGCUUGGUGGCUACAGAAAGACAGAAAGAUGCCUGACCUGCUUCCAGCUGCUUCAGCCCCCCCACUGUCCCAUCUCCAGACACGUCAAACUGCAACUGGAUGACAGACAUUAAGCUGGAACUUUGCAGGCAAGCCCUUUCUUAGCCUGACCCAUGGAGAAUUUUAAUUCAAGUGCAUCUACCUCUUCUCCACUGUUGACACCAGAAAACUCCCUUCCAUAUGCCCUUGUGGAACUCACUAUACUUCGUUCAACAAACGUUCAGUGACUACCUGCUAUGUGUCCAGAAUAA